CCUACGGGAGGCUGCAGUGGGGAAUAUUGGACAAUGGGGGGAACCCUGAUCCAGCCAUGCCGCGUGUGUGAAGAAGGCCCUCGGGUGGUAAAGCACUUUCAGUGAGGAAGAACGCCUGGUGGUUAAUACCCAUCAGGAAAGACAUCACUCACAGAAGAAGCACCGGCUAACUCCGUGCCAGCAGCCGCGGUAAUACGGAGGGUGCGAGCGUUAAUCGGAAUUACUGGGCGUAAAGCGCGCGUAGGUGGCUUGAUAAGCCGGUUGUGAAAGCCCCGGGCUCAACCUGGGAACGGCAUCCGGAACUGUCAAGCUAGAGUGCAGGAGAGGAAGGUAGAAUUCCCGGUGUAGCGGUGAAAUGCGUAGAGAUCGGGAGGAAUACCAGUGGCGAAGGCGGCCUUCUGGACUGACACUGACACUGAGGUGCGAAAGCGUGGGUAGCAAACAGGAUUAGAUACCCCUGUAGUC
rnacentral:rRNA from 1 species